rnacentral:rRNA from 1 species
GACGAACGCUGGCGGCGUGCUUAACACAUGCAAGUCGAACGGAAAGGCCCUGCUUUUGUGGGGUGCUCGAGUGGCGAACGGGUGAGUAACACGUGAGUAACCUGCCCUUGACUUUGGGAUAACUUCAGGAAACUGGGGCUAAUACCGGAUAGGAGCUCCUGCUGCAUGGUGGGGGUUGGAAAGUUUCGGCGGUUGGGGAUGGACUCGCGGCUUAUCAGCUUGUUGGAGGGGUAGUGGCUUACCAAGGCUUUGACGGGUAGCCGGCCUGAGAGGGUGACCGGCCACAUUGGGACUGAGAUACGGCCCAGACUCCUACGGGAGGCAGCAGUGGGGAAUAUUGCACAAUGGGCGGAAGCCUGAUGCAGCAACGCCGCGUGCGGGAUGACGGCCUUCGGGUUGUAAACCGCUUUCGCCUGUGACGAAGCGUGAGUGACGGUAAUGGGUAAAGAAGCACCGGCUAACUACGUG